rnacentral:rRNA from 1 species
AGACAACUCUCAACAACGGAUAUCUUGGCUCUCGCAACGAUGAAGAACGCAGCGAAAUGCGAUACGUAGUGUGAAUUGCAGAAUUCCGUGAAUCAUCGAAUUUUUGAACGCAUAUUGCGCCCGAGG